rnacentral:tRNA from 1 species
CAAAGAAUAGUUUAGGUAGAAUUUUAAUUUUGGAGAUUAGAGGCAUAAGUAUAAUUAUUUUUUUGA